GAGAGCAAAAGAAGAGAGGCUUUGAAGGCUCCACUCAGUGGUAACCAGCUAGGAACAAUGGAGGCAGCUCAGAAGGUGCUUCCUUCCACCCAGCUGCAGUCAAAGCCACCGGUGAGGCCAGAGGGCUGCCAGGAACUGUGUUAUGGCUGAGGAGAACAAACAGGCUCGGUCAAGGAAGCCAAGCCCCCUUCAAAGAACGACCCCCUCCUACCCCCCAUGACUUCAGCGGUGUUUGCUGACAAGCCUAUGGAUCACAUAGACCACAUCUUCCGGUGUCCUCGCAUCCAAGACAAAUUCAGCCCUCCAGCCGCUAUGGUUGUUGGAAGAUGGAUCAGAGAUGCCGCCAAGAUAAGAAAGUUCCAGUUCAGACAUCGCUGAGCUUUCCCAAGUCACCCUGUUCAAGGCAGAAGCAUCCCUGGAACACCACGUGCCUGGCCCGAGGUCAUUACUGUUUGGUCCUUGCUGCUCUGGCAGCAUUACACAUUGUCCCACUCUAAGGCUAGCCUCAAAUGCGUGCAACUCUAAAUCAGAGAUCCUCUAGGGACAGCCGAGGCAAGGAACCGAAAUUGUCUUACCCACAAGAUGUAAAGAGACUUUUGAUAAAAGUGAAUCUUAAUAUAGUAUGUUGGAAAGGGACCAUCUGUUCCCAAUCUUCAGAAGAGAGGGGAUGGGAAUUUAUGUUACAAUGUGAAGCAUGAGAUAAAGAGAGGAAAUUCCUAAUUUGUCUGGUUAUAGACCAAUAUACCAUCAAAGCAGACUGCUGUGGCUGUCUCUGGGCAUGUAAAGAGACACUGCCAUUCUUCUCUAGUAAUUCACCCCAAACCAUGUUUUAGUGAACAGAUCCCUGCAAUUUGGGGAGAUCUUCAACUAAGGCACCAGUAUCUCUCUGCUCUCUCCACGCUGCCUCUGUGGGCUGGGCUUAUUUUUCCUACUCCUUGAAAGACAGCAGGGCCCUUACCCCACCAUGUUCCCCAGGUGGUUGGAGCAUCAAGCUCAGCCCAGUGCAGGUGUUGAGAAAGGCAGGGUCUACAACCACAAUGCUUGUGUCUGUCCUCAGUCUGUGCUGCCACACUGGAGACAUGAAACAUGUAGAACAUGAGCAUCUGCCUGACCAGCAGGGCACAGUGCAGUGGUUGGCAGAUGGUUAGCUUUUAAGAAACAUGUCCUGUGGUUGAUCAAAAUGUUUCAUAUCUCCCCCAGGGCACACAUUGAUGCAGGUGUUACAAUACCUUGUCAUAAGAAAAAACCCCUGUUAACUGACAUGGAGGAAGUGGGUGGCAGUGACACUAGACCAGGUCUCCCAGGGCCUCCCACAUGUCCUCCCUUUGGCUCUUCUUCCAGUUAAAAUCGAAGGCCUUGAGAACCCGGGACAGAUGAUGGUACUGUAAGAGGGAAAGAACUCAGGGUUGAUCUGUUACUCAGAGAGUAGCCUCACUGACAAGCAACACACACCAGGAUGUCCACACAGGAGGCAAGUAAGCUACACUCUGAGCCAUUAGCGCUCAGUUCUGCAGGUCUUCAGAAACAUUUAAAAAUGGAAACAUUAGGGACAAUGCCUGGGUGUUGUCCUCUUUACAGGAGCAUAAACUGACCUUUUUUUUUCCUAUGCCCCAUGGUGGACACUGAAACCACUGCCAUUUUCCAUAUGAUGUCAGUCCUGGUGAGGUUAGCAUGAGAUUGCCCUUGCAGUUCAUAAAGGCUCGCCUAUGAAUGAAUGCUUGUUGAAUAAAUUAGUGACCUUCACACUAUGACCCUUAUUGACAUUGAAAGUUGUAAUUAAUUAUCUUCUGAAUAAUCUACCUUGCUUACUAUAUAUUAAAUAUGCAUUAAAAUUGAGGCAGA